GUUCUAAAGCUCCUUCGUUUCUUUCUCCCUUUCUCCCUCCGUUUCUUUCAUUCACAGAAACUCAUCCAAAAAACCCUAGCACUGUAAGCCUACACCACCGCCGCCGCAAGGAGUGGCAUACUGCUGCCGUCCGUCCGUCUAUCUAGCUUCCCUCGUGCACCAUGUCUUCAACUCCCGUUCGCUAUCACCGAUCGCAGCUGCUUCCUCGAGCUCGGCGUCCGUCGUCUUUGUCUGCUCAGCCGCGCUUCCGCCGCCGUUGGUUGCCGUUAACGUUCGCGUCUUCGUUCAGCCGUCGUCUUCAUUCGCGUUCUUCGCCGUUCAAGUUUGCUCGGCGUUCACCGUUCGCGUUCACUCGCCGUUCACUGUUCGCGUUCACUCGCCGUUCACCAUUCGCGUUCACUCGCCGUUCACCGUUCGGGUUCGCGUUCGUCUGGAAGCCACGUUGCCCUGCUUCAAACUCUGCGACCAACCCGUGCGCUCCACCUAGCCGUCGAACUGCUCUCUUUUGUCACCGCCCAUGGCACUCUCGGGGCACUUGUCCAAGAUUCUGUUAAGAGCCACUACUAGACCCUGUUUUACUGUGCACCCACCCUCCGCCACUGCCGCUACCCCAGUGCCACCACUAGGCCGCCACCGUGUUGCUCCGGCCAUUCACUCAUCAUCAUCAAUCUUUCCCUUCCCUUCCCCUGUUCCAAUUCCCUGCUUCCCAGGUUCCCCUUUCAUCUCAUUUGAUUUUAUUUCUCUUAAGUGAAUUAAUAAUGAAGAAACUCAGGUUACACGUUAUAAUGACACUCUUUAACAUUUUGUUCUUGUGUUUGUUCAGGAAGGGAAUGUGCUGAAUAAUUAUAUUAAAAGAUGGAUUUAGGCAUUCUUUUCUUCCUCUUUCACACCCUGCAGGUUUUGACAGCUACUAAAAUUAGAUAUUGGAGGUUUUGUUCAAUUAGAUGCUAGGUUUUGACAAGUCCCCAUGAGAUGUAAUGGCAAAAGAGAAUUGAUAGGCACACAGUUUCUUCUUGUUAUCAUGCUAUAUAAAAAACAUGUCUCAGUUGUGGUGGUUUGGUUUGGUUUUUGUUGUUUUCCAUUGCAGGAAUGCUAUUGAUUCCUCUUUAUUCAAGCAAUGGUUGCAUAACUUGCAAAGUGAGAUUGGGAUUUCUAGCUGAUGGCACCUUGGCUCUGAGACAAGUUCUAAUUCAGUAAACCGUGAUUAGGUUCCAGGUAUUGUAUUUGCAAGAGGACCUGCUGUGACUGUGUUGAUACUUCUGGAAUCAGAUGGUGAAACUUAUGCUGUCCUUACUGAACAGGCAAGGGUUCCUACUGGAAGAAUUAUUUUGGAAUUGCCUGCUGGAAUGUUGGAUGAUGACAAGGGUGAUUUCGUUGGCACUGCAGUUCGUGAGGCUUCUCUCUCUACAAUUCUUCAUGGCUUAGUUGUGCCUGACAGGUUGAAGAGGAGACUGGCAUAAAGUUCAAACUUGAAGACAUGGUUGAUCUCACUGCUUUCUUGGAUUCUUCAACAGGAUGCAGAUUUUUUCCCUCACCGACAGUAGACUAUAAGAGACCAACCUAUGAAAAAGUUGAGAACCUCCAAGCCUUACUUCCAAGGGAGUGCAAUAUCUGCCAAAUGCAAAUCGGUGAAAUGUUGAACUUUAUGGAUUCAAAAUGUAGUUCAAUCCAUUUUCUUCACUAAUUUUCACUUACUAUGAGUUUCGAAUACCACUGCCACUAUUUGUAAAUGGAUGCUAGGUAGAAGCUGCUCAUUAGGUGCCUACUACUUUUUGUAAUAAUAAAGAUAAAUAGAUGUGCAAGGUGUUUAGAAUUUUUAUUCCUAUUAGCAUAACAAUGCUGAUGAAUUUUUAUAGUAGAAUGUGAACCUGGUUUAAUUUGGAAUUGUUAAUA